rnacentral:rRNA from 1 species
AAUGGGCGCAACGUGAUCCAGCCAUGCCGCGUGAGUGAAGAAGGCCUUAGGGUUGUAAAGCUCUUUCGCCCGCGAAGAUAAUGACGGUAGCGGGAGAAGAAGCCCCGGCUAACUCCGUGCCAGCAGCCGCGGUAAUACGGAGGGGGCUAGCGUUGUCCGGAGUCACUGGGCGUAAAGCGCGCGUAGGCGGCCAUUUAAGUUGGGUGUGAAAGCCCGGGGCUCAACCCCGGAUGUGCAUCCGAGACUGGGUGGCUGGAGUCCGGGAGAGGGCGGCGGAAUUCCCAGUGUAGAGGUGAAAUUCGUAGAUAUUGGGAAGAACACCGGUGGCGAAGGCGGCCGCCUGGUCCGGAACUGACGCUGAGGCGCGAAAGCGUGGGGAGCAAACAGGAUUAGAUACCCUGGUAGUCCACGCCGUAAACGAUGAGCGCUAGAUGUCGGGGGGUUAUCCCUUCGGUGUCGCAGCUAACGCAUUAAGCGCUCCGCCUGGGGAGUACGGCCGCAAGGUUA